GCCGGCCGCGACCCCGUCUCCGUGGCAACCGGGAGCGUGGCCUGACGCCGCCGAGGGCCGUUCCCGCGGGACUUGGCUGGGUCCGCCUCUCACCGGCCAGUUGCUCUUCCUCCAGAGUUCCGCGACGCCAGCCCCAGACCCCUUGCACAGUUGGAUCGCUUCGUCCCGAGGGUCCUCGACUUCCCCAAAACCACAAGUGGCCCCCUCUUCCCGACACUUCCAGGUCAGUGUAAGUGACAGUUCUCUGUACUGAAAACAAGAUUUAAUGAGAGUCUCCAUCCCCAAAGUAAAGCUUAAGCCAACAGUUGUGGAAAAAGUUCACCAAUCUUGGAUUGAGGGAUCAGAUAUGGCUGAUGUGACAAAAUGACUUCUUCGAUGCCUUCCCAACUUGAGAUUCUAGAGAGAGCGCACAUGUGAGCGAGCAAGAGAAGGGCAGAGAGAGGGGGAGAGAGAGGACUCCAAGCAGUCCCCAUGCUGUCGCACAGAGCCUGACGUGGGGCUUGAACUCACGAACCGCGGGAUCAUGACCCGAGCAGAAACCAAGAGUCUGAUGCUUAACCGACUGAGCCACCCAGGAAGAACAGUAUUGGAUUUUGGAUUCUAUAGUUCAGAGAACCACCAAGGUCCUCAUCUUUAGUUACUAGCUGUCUGACGUUGGGUACUGCCUGAUCCCUGAGUCUUCUGUCUGGAGUUCCUCCUUGCAGAUACCUUCUUUGGAGCCAUUUGCAGGCAGUUUCCAGGCUUCAAAACUGGCCUAUCCUAUCAGAACCCUUCUGCUCAGAGUUCCUUUCCCGCAAAGUAGUCUGCUUUCUCAGAUGUUAAUAGAUUCUGAUAGCUUAGGAUAUCAUCCUUUAAGACGCAUCCAUUAAAUGCAUGUGCCCUUUAAUAAAAUGCCUUAGCUGAGAGAAGUCAAUCUCCAGUAGUGGGGAAUUUGUGCCCAAUAAGAGAGCUGGAGCACCGUUUCUUCAUGGUACGAAAGCCACAGAAGCAUGAAGACUAUAAUCCCACCUUGUCUCCAGUUGUCCAUUGAGAUCAAGACAGGCCAGUUCCUCUUUACAAAUCCUCUCUCCCUGGUGUUUGUACACCAUUUCACAGUCUCCAAAGUGCUUUCACAGAUUUCCCAGUUUAGCCUCCAACCAUUCCAUGAAAUAGAAAGGGAUCUACUCUGAGUGUGCCUUCUAAUGCUCAGAAACACCAAUACACACCUGGAACCCACAGCAACGGAUCACUGGAAGACAAAAUGCACAAGAAUAAUAUUUCACCCGGCAACGAGGACUGAGAUUUGCAAAUAAAAUGGCUGGAGGAGAAGGAGCAUCCCCGUCACCUGGAAACUGUUUUAUUAGGCAGCAGCUGGGUUUUCAACUCUGUUAGUUGGAUUUUUGUCUGUUUUCAAACUUUUCAGGGAUUGUUAGCCUGAGGUCCAUUGGUCGCGUUCAAUGUGAUUC